GACGAACGCUGGCGGCGUGCUUAACACAUGCAAGUCGAACGAAGAGCGAUGGACGCUUGCUUCUAUCAAUCUUAGUGGCGAACGGGUGAGUAACGCGUAAUCAACCUGCCCUUCAGAGGGGGACAACAGUUGGAAACGACUGCUAAUACCGCAUACGAUCUGACCUCGGCAUCGAGGAUAGAUGAAAGGUGGCCUCUAUUUAUAAGCUAUCACUGAAGGAGGGGAUUGCGUCUGAUUAGCUAGUUGGAGGGGUAACGGCCCACCAAGGCGAUGAUCAGUAGCCGGUCUGAGAGGAUGAACGGCCACAUUGGGACUGAGACACGGCCCAGACUCCUACGGGAGGCAGCAGUGGGGAAUCUUCCGCAAUGGACGAAAGUCUGACGGAGCAACGCCGCGUGAGUGAUGACGGCCUUCGGGUUGUAAAGCUCUGUUAAUCGGGACGAAAGGCCUUCUUGCGAAUAGUUAGAAGGAUUGACGGUACCGGAAUAGAAAGCCACGGCUAACUACGU
rnacentral:rRNA from 1 species